rnacentral:rRNA from 1 species
AGUGAACGCUGGCGGUAGGCCUAACACAUGCAAGUCGAGCGGCAGCACAGUAAGAGCUUGCUCUUACGGGUGGCGAGUGGCGGACGGGUGAGGAAUACAUCGGAAUCUACUUUUUCGUGGGGGAUAACGUAGGGACACUUACGCUAAUACCGCAUACGUCCUACGGGUGAAAGCAGGGGAUCUUCGGACCUUGCGCGAUUGAAUGAGCCGAUGUCGGAUUAGCUAGUUGGCGGGGUAAAGGCCCACCAAGGCGACGAUCCGUAGCUGGUCUGAGAGGAUGAUCAGCCACACUGGAACUGAGACACGGUCCAGACUCCUACGGGAGGCAGCAGUGGGGAAUAUUGGACAAUGGGCGCAAGCCUGAUCCAGCCAUACCGCGUGGGUGAAGAAGGCCUUCGGGUUGUAAAGCCCUUUUGUUGGGAAAGAAAAGCAGCAGGUUAAUACCCCGCUGUUCUGACGGUACCCAAAGAAUAAGCACCGGCUAACUUCGUG